AGCAGUAUGGGACCUGAUGUGUGAUCACUACUCAAAUGUUGGCCAUCAAAAUAAUACAAAUGGUUUGGGUGUGGUGGCUGAUGCCUGUAAUCCUAGUACUUUGCGAGGCUGAGGCAGAAGGAUCCCUUGAGUCCAGGAGUUUGAGACCAGCCUGGGCGAUACGGUCAGACCUCAUCUCUACAAAAAAUUUAAAAAUUAGCCAGACAUGGUGGCACGCAACUGAAGUCCCAGCUACUCAGGUGACUGAGGGGGAGUAUCAUUUGAGCCAGGGAAUUUGAAGCUGCAGUGAGCUAAGAUGGCGCCCGUGCACUCUAGCCCCAGCAACAGAGCAAGACCCUGUGUCAAAAAAAUAAAUAAAUAAAUAAAAUAAAAAUAAAAAAAUAAAAAUAAACAAAAAAUAGCACUGACCACAAUGCUAAAACAUUUAGGACAGAGUCUUGUACCUAUUAAUGAUAAAUAAAAUGAGCUGUUUUGAUUAUUGUUAUUAUUACUACUAUUACAUUGCCAAAGUGUGUAGUGGGGGCUAUGCACUCAAUAAGUGAUGGCUAAUAUUUUAAAAAGUCAAUAGUGCUGACAGUAAUAAUAAUAAUACAUAUAUUUUUUGAGACAGAGUCUCGCUCUGUUGCCCAGGCUGGAGUACAGUGGCGCCUUCUCGGCUCACUGCAGCUUCCUCCUUCCGGGCUCAAGCGAUUCUCCUGCCUCAACCUCCCAAGUAGCUGAGAUUAUAGGCGUGGACCACAACAUCCAGCUAAUUUUUGUGUUUUUAGUAGAAUGGGGUUUCGCCGUGUUGGCCAGGCUGGUCUCACACUCCUGACCUCAGGUGAUCCGCCGGCCUCGGCCUCCCAAAGCGCUCAGAUUACAGGCGUGAGCCACCGCACCCAGCCAAUAAUAAUAUUAUUAAGCACUUAGCACACAGGGAAUGACCUUAGUAACUAGUAGCAGUAUUGGAAUCAUCAAUAAUAAAGCAGGUCAACACAUUGUGAACCCACAAUGUGCCAUCCGCACAAUUGAAUAUAGGUGUCCCGGAUUGGGCGCCCAUCCCUGGCAUGUUUUGGGGGCUCCCUGACCCCCAUGAUGGGCCGACCCCCUCACAACAGCAAGACCCUGCCCCCAGCUCACCUGGUAGGAGGGGCCGCCGUGCGCCGAGCCGCACUCCUUCGGGUGCCGGCACCUGGCCCCUGCCCACAGGUGCGCGUUAUCGUUGGCGCAGCCCUCGGAGCAGGCAGGGCGGCCGCGGGGACGCAGAGCUGCACCCGGCGCGGGUCCAAGCGUUGCUGGUAGCUGCUGUGCUUAGGACACGUGGCGGCUAUGCAGGGAGGAGAAAAAGCGCGGGUGGACCUGGGUCCCAUUAACCUGGACAGACACCUCCAAGAUGAGCAUGAGGGGGCUGCUGGAUCUGUUCUCCUUUCACAGCUGUAUCCUGAAGAAUGGCAGUGAGCCGGAAGAGCCACAGGAUUCGGCAAAGACGGACACACAGCUGAGUCCGGCUACCCUGGCGUUGGAGCGCGAGGAGCACAGCAGCCGCCACGUCCCUUCCGUCUUGUCAAAGACCAUGAGCCGAGCGUCCGCAGAGCUGACCUGCACUGCAGGGCGACAGGGCCCGGGGCCGCCUGGGUCCCACAGCCAGGCUCCCCACAUGCUUCCCCAGCCGGAGCCCCUCCUGGCCUGUGCUCCAGCCAUGUGGUGUAGACGUGAACCCCAGCCCAUCGGAGGGUUGCAGCCCCCACAUCUGCGAUUGCAUCUGGAAUCAUGACUCAAGGACUUUUUUUUUUUAAAGACAGGGUCUCGCUCUGUUGCCCAGGCUGGAGUGUAGUGGUGUGAUCUUGGCUCACUGUAGCCUUGACCUCCCAGACUCAAGAAAUCCUCCUACCUCAACCUCCUGAGUAGCUAGGACCACAGGCGUGCACCACCACACCUGACUAAUUUUUUUGUUUGUUUGUUUUGUUUUGUUUUGUUUUGUAGAGACGGGUCUUGCUAUGUUGCCCAGGCUGGUCUUGAACUCCUAGGCUCAAGCAAUCUUCCUGCCUCUGCCUCCUAAAAUGCUGGGAUUACAGGUGGGAUUACAGAGCACCAUGGCACUCUGCCAGACUCAAGGACUCAGGUCGGACCAAUCAACAGCAGCCUUGAGGCUGUGGCCGGCCCCUCCGCGAACCAGGGGAACUUCACUCUCCAUUAGAAGUCCUAAGUUGGCUGCUC
rnacentral:lncRNA from 1 species